CACGAACACGAAGCAGUCGCAUCGCCACUCGGCUGACAGCCUUGCCUUCUCUCAACGCCACCCGACCGCCUACCGGAGCGCUGCCGCUCCCUCCCGCCUUCAGCGCCGCUCCCCUUAUCAGACCCAGCAUCCCGCCGAGCGAGAGAGAGGGGAAGGGGAAGGAAAGAGAUGGGGAGGGAUGACGGCGUGAAGGAAACCAAGCGCCGCCGCCGCCACUGCGGCAGCAAGAUAUCCCGCGAUGCCUCCCCCUCCACCACCUCCUCGGACUCUGACUCCUCAGCUUCCCCUUCCUUCGAUUCCUCCCAUAGACGCAGCCCCGAGCUGCGCAGCCGGAGCAGCAGCAGCAGCAAGCGCAGGAAGUCGUCUUCCUCGUCGUCGGACCGCCACCGCCGCAGCCACAAUAGCAGCGGCCGGUCGCGCAGCUCCCGUGACGAGGACCGGCGGCGGCGGGACGAGGAGCGCGGGCGGCGCGGUGGCGAUGGUGACGGCGACAGCUCUUCCGGCUCGGCGUCGGAGGAGUCGGACAGGGCGGACGAGGCGCGGGAGAUUGUCCGUGACAUCCUCAGGGAAUUCCCAGCCAUCUCCGGCGAGCUCCGUCAGUUUAGGGGGACGUCCUGUGUGAAAACCUGCAGUAGCUAUAAGGUGAAGGAGAAUGGGAUGCUUCACUAUAGAGGAAUGCCAGAGAUUUGAGUCUGAAUCGGUUCCUCCUUUUUUUGUACAAGGCCCCAUCUUCUCCAAAUGAUAGACAGUGGUGAAGGCAUUGAUAUUUCUGGAAUCUCGGACAAGCCAUUGGUGAAGCGCUUGAAGAAACUUUUCCAAUCUCUGAGACUGAAGGAAAGUGCAAGUGGGGCUUGCUGACUCCAAAAAGUGUUCCUACACUCGAUGUUGUUGGAUCAUUACCAUUGGCAAGUUCUAAACUAGCAGACAACAAAAAUGGAAAGUUGGUAUCACCAAAUAGAGAAGAAUUAAUAUCAUCUAACCUUGAUGUGUAAAAUAAAGAUGAUAUUACUUCCGAAGGACCAAAAAUUGUUGAUGUGGAAGAGGAACCUCCUAAAAGAAGUUGCAGGGGAUGUGUCCUUCCUUCAUUUACUUUAGGCUAACAAAAGUACAUGGCUUUUUCGAGAACCGAAUAUUAUUGUUUGUUUGGCUAUAUUGUCAGGUUGUCCGAAACCAUGCGUAUCUUCUCAAUGCUGGUGUUCAAGAGCAUUAGUAGCUAAAUAUAUCAAGGACAUCUUUUAGUCUAAAACGAUCCAUUUAUGGUUGCUAGGCCCUUUUGCUUCAGACAGAAAAAUGAUAAAUUUAUCGAUUUUAAUCAUUGUUAUAUAAAUUGUUGUUGGUAUAUUGGAAUUUCUGGAUGCAAGAGCUACUUACAUUGUCUGUAGUACCUUGAUUUAUUAUACUUUGUGUUAGCGAUAGAAGGAUGUGUCAUGCCCAUACCAUCGAGAUGGCAAUGAUUGUAGGUAUUGGCAGUGGUAUUACCAAAGGGCAUUGCGGGGUUCGUUUCCUUGUAGAUAUAGUAUGUCGCUGUGUGGUGGCUAUAAGUUCUGCUCUGUUUGCUGUUUUUGUGACGCCUCUAACUGUUGUCUUUUCUCUUGACAUAACUAUCCUAAAUUCUAACGUUCUUGAUUAGUAGGUUUAGCAUUAUGCUGCCAAAUGCAGUGGAGUGUUGUUAUGGAAUGCUCAUUUCCUUCUCAAUUUGUUACCCUACACAAUAAGAUUCCCUUUAGUCUGAUUACUACCCAACCUGUUACGAAAUAUAAUAUU